AUGAACGCUGGCGGCGUGCCUAAUACAUGCCAGUCGAGCGAACAGACGAGGAGCUUGCUCCUCUGACGUUAGCGGCGGCCGGGUGAGUAACACGUGGAUAACCUACCUAUAAGACUGGGAUAACUUCGGGAAACCGGAGCUAAUACCGGAUAAUAUAUUGAACCGCAUGGUUCAAUAGUGAAAGACGGUUUUGCUGUCACUUAUAGAUGGAUCCGCGCCGCAUUAGCUAGUUGGUAAGGUAACGGCUUACCAAGGCAACGAUGCGUAGCCGACCUGAGAGGGUGAUCGGCCACACUGGAACUGAGACACGGUCCAGACUCCUACGGGAGGCAGCAGUAGGGAAUCUUCCGCAAUGGGCGAAAGCCUGACGGAGCAACGCCGCGUGAGUGAUGAAGGUCUUCGGAUCGUAAAGCUCUGUUAUUAGGGAAGAACAAAUGUGUAAGUAACUAUGCACGUCUUGACGGUACCUAAUCAGAAAGCCACGGCUAACUACGUG
rnacentral:rRNA from 1 species